rfam:Capsaspora owczarzaki ATCC 30864 unplaced genomic scaffold supercont2.4, whole genome shotgun sequence.
GCAGCCCUGGCGCAGCCGGCAGCGCGUGUGACUGUUAAUCACAAGGUCGACAGUUCGAUCCUGUCGGGCUGCG